rnacentral:rRNA from 1 species
UACGUAGGGACCAAGCGUUGUUCGGAUUUACUGGGCGUAAAGGGCGCGUAGGCGGCAAAUUAAGUCAUCUGUGAAAUCUCCGAGCUUAACUCGGAACGGUCAGGUGAUACUGAUCUGCUAGAGUGCGGAAGGGGCAAUCGGAAUUCUUGGUGUAGCGGUGAAAUGCGUAGAUAUCAAGAGGAACACCGUGAGGUGAAGACGGGUUGCUGGGCCGACACUGACGCUGACAGCGCGAAGCCAGGGAGCAAACGGG